CUUAGUAUUUGUUCCCCUUGACAAAAACUUCAUGCAAAUGGGAGGUUUUACUCCUACUAGAGCAAGUAUCGCACUAGGCAAAGUCCAUAUCCCAUCCCCGCAAAUCAAACCAGAAGCCACUGCUGGCCCAAAAGCAUCUGCCUUUGCCUUGUCAAUCUUUUCCCAGAUAAAUAGAAUCAAGCUUCCCACACACAUGUCGAUGGCAAAGUAUGAGCCAAUAUAGAAAGGUAUAGCCAUCGCCAUUGGAUUGGGAAUGAACCUAGCCCAUUUCUUACCCAAUGCAUCCUUCAUUAAAUUUAUGAGAAUAGCUGCACUGAAGAACCCAUAGCAAAGAUAGAGGCAAUUCUUUGGUAGAGACGAGAAUCCGUCUACCCCCAAUAUAGCCAUGUUUCGAAAUACAGUAGCAUUAGGAGCAGGGUAUUGACUUCCAGGAGUCCCAAGAUCCUUGAAGGCCUUGAAAAACAGCCAAAAGACACAAGGUGAAAUAACGCAACCCAUUGCAGUGCCAAUUAGUUGGCUCACAAACAUGGACCGUGGUGAAGAAAGGGUUAGAUAACCAGUCUUGAAAUCUUGAGAGAGGUCAGAGGCUGUGGAGACAAUAUUCAUCAUGACUCCACAGGCCGCUAGUCCUGCAAGAACUCCACCAUGAGAGGCACCAGCCCAUGCCCCAAUUACAAAAAUUGCAAGCUUCCCAUAGGUGGAAGCUAGGGACCAGUCAGUGAGGCCAC